rnacentral:rRNA from 1 species
CCCUUAGAUGUUCUGGGCCGCACGCGCGCUACACUGACUGGUUCAUCGAGUAUACAACCUUGACUGAUAGGUCUGGGUAAUCUUCUCAAAGCCAGUCGUGCUGGGGAUAGAUUAUUGUAAUUUUUAAUCUUCAACGAGGAAUUCCUAGUAAACGCGAGUCAUCAACUCGCAUUGAUUACGUCCCUGCCCUUUGUACACACCGCCCGUCGCUACUACCGAUUGAAUGCUCAGGUGAGCCAUUCGGACUUUCAUCAUGCUGGUUUCCAGUUUUGAUGAAGGAAAGUCUUGCGAACCUUAUCAUUUAGAGGAAGGAGAAGUCGUAACA